AGGGCUUCAUGACAGAUCCAGGGUAGGGGCUUGGGAGCCCUGUGUUGAGGGGUGAAAUCUUGAAAGCCACCAAGCCUGGACUCAGCACAACCAAAUAAAGCUGCGAGGCUGGGGCAGCACAGGCUGCUCCUGCCAGAGGGAAAGGAAGGGAAGGGAAGGAGGGAACAGUGCUUGGGUGGAGAGCCGAGAGGUCAGGCAGCUACCAUGAGGUUGAUGGAAGAUUUGGAAGAGAUUGCUGCUGCUGAGUGUGAUCCCAGCCCAGCCACGUGCUCCAAAGCCUCCCUUAGCCACAGCUGCCUCUCUGGCUUUCUAGGUCUCAAACAAAGCAGGCAGCAGGGCCGGGCCCUUUCUUCUGCUCUAGGCAAUGGCCUGCUUUCAGCUGUAGACCUGGUUGUCUGCCCAGACUUGCCCAAACAGGUAGAUUUCAUCUGCUGGUCUUACAGUUGGCCUCAUCCAACUAUUUCACUCGCCCACCCUCUGGGUAUGACAGGAAAAUAAGCCUUACACACAGAGGUCAAAAUUAUGCUUUCAGAGAGUUUUUUAAUAAUUGUCUCACUGGGAACAUACACGAAAGCUUUCUGCCCACAACCCCCAAGAAAAACUUGUCCAACUACAGGUGCACAACAAUACUUUACUGGUGAUAAGCAGAAAUGGGAAAACCUGAGGUUAUUGCUGUCAUUUCAGUGCAUCCUGUUUCACCUGAAAAAAAUGGCAUCCUCCUAACAGCUCUGCAGCUCCUUUGGAGAGGGCAACACGUCACUGUCUAAGAAACUACACCUCAGGCAAAGGUUAAGCAAUUUACUCUGCCACUGUUUGCAUUUGCAAUAGCAUGACAUUCAGGCAUCAUGAUUUCUGCUGGCAGAAAUUAUUUGGAGUUUCUCCAGCCCAAAGAAAGCAAGACUACAAUUCAAGUCCCUAAAAAGUAACAAUGAAGGCCCUUCUUCCUUUUUCCCCUCCUCAUCCAGUCAAGGAGCUCUUGAAGUUGGUCCUUUUCCAGAAGUGAUGAGCAACAUGGAAGAGCUGUAUGUCUUCCCACAAAGGGAAAGUCAUGAAAUAAUGAAAGGCUGAGGUCAUGCCCAUCUUGAGAAUGACUCCACAGGACAAAAAUUAACAGGCUGAUUUAAACAAAACGAGCAGGAAACAACAGCAUGUUGCCAUACACAAAGCACGGAGCUUAUGUCUUGGUGCAGGAAGAUAAAGCAGGUGUGACUUGAGUUGCAAUGAGGGCACCUUUCUGACCUGCAAACUGAAGACUUGCCUGGUUACAGGAUCAAUGUAAUCAAGGAUCAGUGCAAUCAGGAUCAAUGUAAUACGGGACAUGAUUGGAAUGGAGAGUCCCUGUAGUCUUCUGCUUACCUCUUGGAUGUGCAGAAAUCCCAAGACAGAUGUUUCUUACAGUACAUGGAAAGCAUCCUGCACCCCUCCCUCCAAAAGGAGUGUGUAAUCUGCAAGUGCACCGAGGAGGGUUUUGGUGACUGGAGAGGUCAUAGCACGGGUCCCUGGAACAUGGAGAUCACAGAUCGUGCGAGGGCUGAACCCACUGUUACCAUGGGGCUCCUGGCACAGCAAGGCUGGAGCCUAUGCAGAGAGAAGACAUCCGAGUGCAGGACAACAAUCAGAAGGAAAUAUUUUAAUGCUUCACAACACCUCUCAGUGAAGAGCCCUGAGGCUGGCUGACACGAGAACAAAGGUGUAAGAAGUUAAAGGGCACUGGAAAGAAGAUCAGAGGAGAUUGGCAUUUCUUGGCAGACGGCCUGGGGGUUGGAGAGUAGAGGAGGUAUGGGGAAGAGAUUUCUUUUUGUGUCUGCUUAUUUUACGCUUAUUGAAAUUGGCAAGUGACUUCAGUGGAGAAGAUGCACAGUGCUUUUUGGUUCUUUCCACAGCUACGACCACUCUAACCUGCAUGUGCAGCGGGGCAAAGCUGGUUCCUACAAAGCUACACCUGCUGCCUGCACACAGACCCCUCAAAAAACCUGCUGACAACUAGCUGAAACAUACUUAAAGACCAAGUCCAAAACAGCAUGCAUUGUUUACCCUUGCUGUAAGGAGUUUCUUCCAGUCUUGCUCGUUAUCAAAUCAAGAAUUGUCAUAUGUGGUUAUAGACAUACUGGUUACUUUGGUUUGGGUACCUCACCUCUGAUGGUAGUGCAAUAUUUCAGUAUAAAGAAUAAGAAUCUCUUCCUGAAAACAAGAGGCAGAAAUUAUUCACCUAGAUAAGACCUAAAAUUAUAAUUCAUAACAUCUUUCUUGCUUCCUUGGAGAAAAGAACUCCCAGCCUAAUAAUUAUUUUACAAUUAAGAAAAAAAAAAAAAGGCUGCUAUUUUUAAGGAGACACUCUGUAUGUUUCUUCUGAUUCCUUUAUUUUUAUUUAUUUUUUCUUUUUCACUUGAAAUCAAGAUUAAAUUUAACUUCUUUUCAAGUUGCACACUGUAAAGAUUUAGGGUUCUUAAGGAAAGUUUGUGUUUUAAAAUGAGCUAACCAAACACAAAAAUGCCAGGAAUAUUUUAAGUAAGACCUCAUUAGGUAAAGACCAUGACUGCAAAUAUUUGUCGCCUCUCUGCAGGCACAUCAUGUUUUUAGAAGAGGAUUUAUAUAGGCUAACUCAUUUUUCUGCUUCAGCCAUUUGGACACUCAGCAAAUUUCUUCAGCUUCUCUGGUUUCUCCCAGUUUGCUCCCUCACACCACUCGUUCUUUAUCCUGUGAAAUUUCACUGAGGUUAUAGCAGCUCUUAGAUGCAAAAAGCAAAAUAAAUAAAGGCAAGAACAAAACCCCAAUCCCUUUUUUCUUCAGCCUUCUCCAGUCUUAGAUUUUCACUGCAUGCCGAUGGUAUGUGGCUGUUCUUAAUCUCGAAAGCCAUGACGCAAAACAUAUGAGGACAGCUUCUGGUGAACAAAGCCAAAUGACAGCUCCAGGCCCCCAGUGCCUGCCACUGGUGGUACUGCUCACAAGAAACAAAACUAUGGGGAGAAAGGGGGAGGAGAAUCCCUUUUGGGGAUCAUUCUCAUUAUCCUUCCCCAUGGCAGAUUUCUGCUGAAUCAUUCGUCCUACUCAGUCCCUGGAGGUUCAUUCUCAUGGGUUGAUAUUGGCAGCCUCCUACAAUUACAGGAUGAGGCUAUCACGCUUUUAUCUGCAAACAGACUCGCUAAAUGAGCACGACUCCCUCUACAAUAGUAAAGCUAUCACAAUCCAAUUCAUAAAAAUGAACACAUAGAUUCUACCCAAAGGAGUUUACACUCAGAUCAGACCCAGGCAGCAAAUCCUACGCUGCCUGUUUUCCAACACACCUGUAAGCUCCAGUACUGUCUUGUGACAAAUCAUAUCCUGCUUUAACGUAAUGUGAAAUGCAAAUAAAAGUAUCUGACGACUUUUCUUGCAGUUGCUUGUUAUCAUUUGAGAAUUUCAAAGGAAGUGGCAAUUCAAAAAAAUGAGAAGUUGAGAAAAAGGAAAGAAGACGUAGGGAAAUGUAAGCAGCUGCACAACAGUGUAAUGGGAUGAGGUGCAAAAAGGUAUUGGCGGUAAGAAGGUGUGGAAGGAGGAGGUGGCGAGUACAGCAGGGUCUUGUUCUGUUCAUAGCUCAAAUGCCAUGAAACAUUGUUAUUCACACUUUUGCCUUAGUGUAUUGCACUUUCUUUCUAACAUGAAUUUCUGUUCAUUUGGACUGAGAGGAAAGUGUUUAUCUUUCCUCAGCCCCCCCUGCCUGCUGGGAAGCAGUGAGUUGCAAACGUUGCAUUGCGGAAUCCUAAUUGCCUUCUGUAUCAAUGUGUGGUGGCAAAGACAAAUGUAUCAAGAAGCAUAUUAAACUGGGGAAAAAAAAUGAAAGUUUGUAUUUAUUUUGCUCAUAAUUAAAUAUAUAUAUCUGUGUUUAUUCUAGAGAUAAUUAUAGAAAUUAAUAUUGAGAAAUGUUUCUCAUUGUGUCAAAAUUAUGUGUUUAAUCGUGUGCUAAUAUGACUGCAAAACCCAUUUGUAUUUAAUUUCUCAAGGCUGAAAUCAAAUAAGCUGAUGAUAGCAGUGCUCUGUUUGGAUCAGUUAAGCAAUCCAAAUCAGCCAAGGGCAACCUCCUUAAAGCAGGUAAUUACUUCACUCCCACCACUUUUGAUGGGAGUUAAAAGCCUGCAUCUCCAUGAGAACUAGAGAUUAACCACCCAAGAUUUGUUUCAAUCAGACCUCUGUCAGAUAACAUCACUGGAUGCAUUCAUUUUGUCUGUGGGCAUUUUGUGCCUCACUGUCAGCUUCUGCUGGAAAGGUAGUUUAUUUAAACAAAACCAAAUAUUCUCCUGUUCAGGCAUGCUAUGUUAAAACCGUGAGUGUGGUGUCUUGGUCAGCACGGUGCAUUGAAAUGGGGGAGUACAGAAGUCCCCAUAAAAUGGCCUAGAUUAUUUAUUUCCAGUGGUGAGAGGGGGGUAGGUAGGUUUUAAACACCUGCCCCAUAGCAAGCAGUAAGCCAUGGAGGUAACUGCAAGUUACAUGAGGAAUGCUGAAAUAUAUAUUUAAACUCUCUCAUCUUUAACCACUGAAGUUUCCAUUCUUGCCCAUAAAUAUAUCAACACAUUUUGGAACAUCUCAGAGAUUUCAGUAGUAGCUACUUAAGAUAUUUAAGUAGAUACUUAGGUGGUAAGUUUUCUGGGAGCUUAGUUUUCAAUUCCAUUUUUCCCACUUGAGAUCAAAACCUCCGGUGACAUCAGUUCCUCUUGAGUCUCUCAGACAUGUCUUACACUGUUGUCCCAAUGAUCAUUCUUGAUCAGCCGCUGACUUGUAUUCGUCUUUUACUGUUCAAAGGAAAUCCACAUUGCCAAAAGAGGGUGUGUCUUUUAUAUAAUUUCAGAAGAGCAAUGGCUACAGGAAUGACGACUGAUGGAAAAUAAGUUAUAAAUGAUGGACGCUGCUGGUGUGCUUCCUGUGUGGCGGAAUGAAAAACGAUGGAUCAAAUGACUGUAACACUUCCACUGCACAACAAGACUGUAUGCAGUAGUGGUGAAAUGAACUCAUGAUUUUAGAAAACUUGAAAGGACACAAGAUAUGAAGAAUUUAUGUAUAGCAGUGUGUGUUCAAGAAUGAACUCAGUCGUGGACUCAAUUCAGGGCAUCUGGCAUUAUUUACAACAUUCGCUUCUACUUUUAGGAACGCAAAAAUUUCAGGCCUUUAACUUUUAUGACAGUUAAAAGUUAACCCAAGCAUUAGGAUGAACUCUGUCAGGGAUUGUUAAUCCUUUCUGUGCCUGUUGGUGUUAGGCUUCUCUGUUUAUUCCCUUCAGCAAUUUACAGAACAACACAAUGGGGUCAUUACUGCGCUAGGAUAAGAAAUGGUCAGGGAAGGAACCCUGUUGUUUUAUAUGUACCUGGCAGCAAUGCUGGAGGAUCUGAACAAAAUCAGAGCUCCACUGUCUUCAGUGUUUUACAGCCACAAGCUUUGUGCCAAGGCCAGGUCUCUACAGAAAGUUUUGCCACUUCAGUUAUAAUAACAGCGUCAAAGCCAGAAAACAAAUCUGUAGAUUACUGAUGUGGUUAAUGUGCAUAAACCAGUGCAGCGUACUUCAGUUUGGGAAGUGGUUAAACUCUGUGCCAGAUGAAAUUCCCCGUAUUCCAGUGUAAUGGCACCUCUGCUGAGGGUUGGGAUCUAGGGGGAGGCAGCGGGAAGGAAGCAGAGGAGAACAGGCAGGGAGUUUUGGUCGCUUCUUUCACAUUGUGUACCUGUUUCUGAGAGAAAUUUAAAGUUUGCUCAUCGUUGCCAUUUAAACAUGCAUUGGCUAUCCUUUCUCUCCUUUCAGUUUUAAGUUGUGGAGCUAGAAGAUGGUCUCUGCUGUGAGAUGUUGCCUUACUUUAUGCCAACCUACACAUUCAUUCUGAACUGUUUGCCGAUGUUCCCAACAACAGGGCAUUUUAAGGCAAACAUUCGGUUAAUAAAUCGUACCAGCUCAUUCCUACCUUUUCCCUGAAAUCUGUCAUUAACAAUUAAUAAUAAAGAAAUAAUGUAGCAGAGGCUGUAGCUAUAGAGAUAUUUUCAAACUAUGCUAGGGGAGAAUAAAUCCUCUGAGGUACGUGAGGAUACUUCCAAAUCAGAGGGCAAAGAAGUCACUGCAAACUAGUACAAGGUAAUUUUACUGGAAGUAGUGCACGGCAGAAGAUUAUAGGGACAGUUCUCUUUUGUAUAAGAAGACAUCUGUAUCAAGGAAGCCAAAUGUCUAGAAACAUCAGUUAUUUACAAUUGAAAAUGUUUAGAUUAAUUUUAGAUAACUUGCAAGAACCACUUCAGUGACUGCAUCCAGAGAGAGCCAAACGUUCACUGCCUCUUGUGUGAGUUGUCCUGCUUUGCUCUGAAAAAGUGGGAAUGCUCCCAAGACCUUUAUUCUUUGAGGAGUCUGACUAGUUCAACGGACUUGAUAAGAUACAACAGUGAGAUCCUGACGGAGAGCAGCCUUAUCUUUGUUGGAAUAUGGGAUUACUGCAGCAUCUCAUGCAUUUUGCGUUUUCAUUCGAGCUCCAGUUCCUGGAAUUCCAGCAUGACUUGAGCACUUCAGAUUGUAUUGCAAGGAAAAGUUAGUUCUGGCAUUCCCUUGCAGAGAGUGAUUUGAAAACCUGACUCACAACCAUCCUACAGUCUCAGAAACAAGGCGGCAAGUACCAAGAAUUAUACAUUUUUUAAAUCUGAUGACUUUUAAGCCAAUCUCCUGAUUCAUUUUAUUGCAAGGGCUUUGCAGUAACAAUGUCUUUAUCCAGCUGCUUCAGACUUCCAACUCUCCUCUUGUCUGUUCUGGACUUGGCAAUGCAGAUUAUUCUAAAGCACUAUUUCCUAUGUGGCAUCCUAAGAGGCAGCUCAGGCUUUAACUAACUUCUCUAACCAGUUAUGGAAUCGCAGUUCUUCAUACUGCUAUCUCACAGUUCACCCUUCUUUUACAAUUAGUUUAUUCCAUUUUCCUUGUGUGUGAGAUUUUUCUGGUAAACAUCAGUUAUUUGGGUUGAGUUACUCGUCUGAAACUUAUUGAACAAUACUUGCGGUAGUGUAAAAUAAAAGACACUUCCCCUUCUUUUUCCAUCAAUUCAAUCUGUGGUGACCGGGUAUCUAUGUUUCAGCUCCCGUCUAAAUCUACAGACAGCACUUCAUGUAUGAAUCAUUUGUUGGUGACUUGCAAAACUCUUCUGAGAUGAGUAAGUGUUCAGUUUUUAUAAUUGCUUCCAGGUUUUCAGGUUUUAGUGAUUCUAAGCAUGAGGAGCCCAGCUUAAGAUUCAAGCCUAAAUCUUUUGCAUAGAUAUACCCUUUUGUUUUUAGAGGGCUACCAACAUUUUAAAAUAAUAAUUAAAAAAAAAAAAAUGCUCACAGCCAAACAUUGCAACAUAGGUUGGACACACAUCCAGGGGUGGAAACAAAACAAGCCUUUUCUACAAACUGUGUCUCUGGGGUCUGGUCCUGUUUUGCAACUGGCAAGAAUAUGGUUAUAAAAGAUAUUAUACUGACAACAAACUUAACUAGCUGCUGUUACGGACAGGGUUGUCUUGGGCCUUUUGGAAGCUAGGGGCCUAUCAGUGGUCAAGUCUACUUGAUAUCAUCAUCAUGUACACAAAUGGGAACCAAAAGAGCCAUCUGAUUAUAUUCAUUGUAUAGAAAUCCAGUGGGUUGAUUUUCAAAAGUGUAGAAUAACCAGGAACACCCACAGGAGUCCUCUGCAUUAGUACCUACAGGAAUGAAUCUUAUUUAAUCACAUUUAAUUUCUGUCCUGGGCGAAAAGACCAUCCAGGGUCUUAAACAGAAGUUUAAAAAAGAAAAAAAAAAAUCAAGUGAAGUGACAUCCAGUACUUCAUCUUCAAAGCCUUUCUGAUCCUUUGGCAGAGAUAAUCUGAUAGUUCUUUUUCAUCCUAAAGACUCUGGUUUCCAUUUUACCUUUUGAGGGAACAUUUAUGUUCACCACUCACAAAGUCCUUUCUUAAUCUUUACUAAAUAAAUAUAUAUCUACAGAGAAACAGCAAGAAUUAGAAAACAGUUCUUUUUUAAAAGGUCUGCAGACAGAGAAGAUUAUGCAGAUGAAAGAUCUAGAUGUUAUGAACUCUGAGAUGGGAUUAUUCAUUUUUUACCCAAGUGAAUGUUAACUAGACUUGACUACUGCUCUCUCUCCUUUUCUCUCUCUCUCUCUCUCUAGUUGAUUUGUCAAAGUAUUCCAAGACCAAUAAUGGGCAUUCCCUAAAAACUGAGGAAUGUUCUCACAAGUUUCCUUCUUUCCCAGGAAUCAGGAACACUGCUUUAAGGAGGAAACGGAGAUGUACAGUCAGUGUGCACAAAAGACAGGGCAAGUAGGCUCCAAAGACAGAGUAGACUUAAAAGUGAGAGCUGUGAUUUUGCAAUUCAUGAACAUUUGGAAAGCUGAGAACAAAAACCAAAGUAACAAUUAAUAAGCUUGCUGAUUUCAAAAGUCUUAGCUGCAUUGUGAAUGUUUUGCAAAAGAUCAUUUUAAUGCAGAACACUGAACUUUCUGCUUUGCCAACCCAGAAAAAAAAGAGCCCAGAUUUCUUUCCAGUUCUCACCCCCAGGAAGAUGGCAUAUUUUUCAUUACUAUUUUUCACACGCAAACUCUGCACAUGCAGGAACGCUUUUCAACAAAGGAAAGGCUCACAUUUCAAAUAGUACCGUGGAAAAUGUUCCAUAUAGUCAGCUCCUUGACACACCGCACUGAUGUGUCAGCAUGUCUUUGUAAGGCUCUGGAACAGUCUUGGCAACAAAGCUAACCAGCAAACUCUUUGACCCCAAAUUCCUCUAUUCCGAUAAUGUUAUCAUGCAUUUGACACGGGGUCACUGUUACUCACUUACAUAAAGGAAACUUUCAGGAGAGAAACUGGGUAACGCUUAUUCAUGAGAAAUCCAGUUUAAAAUGAUAAAGUGGACUCAUAUAAGUCAUAAAUAUCCCUUGUUUUACAGCUAUGCUAGUUUUCUUAGGGCAAGAGGAUCUAAAUUUUCUUUUUGAAAAAAUUCUGAUAGACCACUUGAAAACAUGAUUUUGCUAUUGAGAAGAUCUGUCUGAGAAAACAGAAAGAAAAAAAAAGUGUUAAAAAAAUACUAUUUUGUUCAAUACCAUGAAGCAUGAAUGAGGUUUGAAUUGCCUUAGUAGCAUCCCCUCGUGGAAGCUGGAACAAAGCCAAAUCUGAAUAAAUUGUGCUAAUUCCAGAUAAUUCUAUUUGCCAGCAGUCUAACUAAAGCAUCCAUGUUCUGCUCUUUCUCUGAACCUGGCAGAGACCCCUCCAGACCCUCUGAGAAUGCAAGAGUUCAUAAGUUCACUUGCUAUUUGCACUUCAACACAUUUUGUUGAAAUAAUGUUUCCAAUCCUUCUUUACAGCAGAAGUCACACAUAUCACCAUUGAAAGAUAAGAGUAGACAGAGCACAACUUCAGAAAAUAAAAGUUCAACAUUAACUUUUAAAAUGUACUUGUGGGGUUUAAGAAUCAGCGCAUCAAUAUUUAACGAGUAACUCUUCUCCAGAAUACCUGACUUUCUGUUUGUAAGGUACGUGAAGUAUAGCUGCUUAUAUCUGUGGUUCUCCUUUUCCAAGCCCACUGAAUGUUUCCUAGAAAUUACUGCUUACACUUCUGAAAUAUUAACAUAAAAAUGACUCAGGCUUGUAGAGCCUAGAACACACGUUCUCACACUGUGAUUCAGGGAAGAGCAAUUGGAUAGCUGAGGAUUAGAAGGCUCUGGCUCUGAGUCACAUACACACACAAAAGGAAGAUAUGAAAUUUGAAGAACUGGAGUGUUUGGCUUCCCACAAGAAAAUGACUUCUUGUACCUCGAAACCUUGGUUUAAAAUUGAUACUUCCCCUGUGACCAUUUGGUGACUCAGGAAAGUUGCGUGAUCAUAGAUGAGGAAAAGUGGCCCAUGAAGUCUUCUGGGACGUUAUUCAGCCUGAAUAAUUUGAAAAUCCACUGCACAGAGGUGUUGCAAUGUAUAAUCUCCAGAAUCCUCAGUCCAAGCCUAUCUGUAAGUGUGGAAGCAGAACUAGGCUGUUAGGAGUCUCACUGGCAGGGUAGUUCAUAGACUUACCACAGCAAUUCUGUGUAAUGCUAAUAGAUGUAACCUUCUCUCAGUCCAGUAUUAACAUUAUUUCUUGCAUACAUAUGAGGGUUUCUAUUUGUAGGAACUCCAGCAGUUUCUGCUUUUCUGCUUGUCUUCUCUGUGCCUUCAUCUAUUUCUAGAAAAAAUGGAGCUGAGACUUUUGAGGAUACUCAAAGUCAUCUGUUGGUAGCCUCCAUGGUUAGCUCAUCUGUAACCCCAAGCCACCUGGAUCUUGGAAAUGCAUCUUGCAUCCAGCACUGAACAGAGGCCUAACAAUGUCAUGUCUCCUUUUGGGAGAUGUGGAACUUCAAGCCCAAAUUUCAAAGCUACAGGACACCCUCCGCACUAGAAUUGCCCCGGGACUCUGCUGAAGAAAAGAAGCUCUUGAGCAACUUGCAGAAUCGCCUCUUCCAUUGUUUCUGAAGAAUUCUUUUCACUGCAUUCCUCGGGCUGUCAGGAAUUGCACAACCAGCUCUUCCAGCUCGAGCAGAGCUGAACCUGCGAUCUGUAUCUUCCGACAGAACAGUCAUUAAACUUAGGUCGUUUCUACGCACACGUACACGUGUGCUAAAAGAUCCUUAAAGAUCCUUAGAGUUAGGAAAACUCGAAAGUCUUGAAAGUAAGACAAAGUGGGAACACACCAAUGCACCUUGCCUGUUUAUUAGGGCUUUAGUUCCAUACUAAUUUUAUGCUAUAUUGCCAUUUCAUUUCUCUAAUGUAUUUUGAAUCCAGUUGUAAGAAUGCAACGAAAGCAGGAACUAUAUGUAAUAUAAAAUACUUGUUUUCACUACCCCCCCCUUCAGCUGCUUCAUGGAGAAAGCUAAGGUCUGGAGCUUUUUGGGAUCAUUGCCAUUAAAUUAAGUAGCAGUGACUUUUAAUUCAAAAAAUCAUUUUUUAUUUUAUUUUUUUUUAAUUCAGCAACUUUUAAACCUACCAGGUUCUUGUGAAAAAAAAUGCUGAAUGAGAGGUUCCCACAGUUGUUCCAAACAUGUAGGUCAAUUGGGGGAAAAAUUAAUUUUCCUGUUCUAAAAAUCAGGCUUGAAUGCAACAAUUUGUGUAUUUCUUGCAUGACAGGGUCUAGUUGGUUUGCCAGAGUUAUACGAUGAGGGAUAAAAAAUGAGUGAAUAACAGGAAAGUAGAGCCAACUAAAUGUCCUCCACACAACUAGUAUGUAACAUUCCUUUGCUAAAAAAAAGUUAGCAUUAUAUAUAGUUCAGGCAAAA